rnacentral:lncRNA from 10 species
UUUACAUUUACAUAUACAGGUAUAUGAAAAUAGGAUUUUAAUUCAAAUUCCUAAAAUUAAAAAAGAUUGAUAGAGCAUGAGCAAAUUAUGAGUUUGAAAAAUCCCCAAUCAUUUUCAGCAACAAUUUUCAUGUUUACAUAUGCCCCUGUAUUCUCUACUUUAUGAAUUAUAAACUCCUUUUGCAUACUUUCUCUCUGCAGGAAAAUGGAUGCAAGUUUUAAAUAUAGAUUUAUGACUUUUAUGGAAAAUAAUAAUUAGGUAGUUCUGUAGCCUUGGGCAAAUACUGUAAUUUCCCUGCACUUCAUUUCCUUAUCUUUAAAAUAAAGGUAUCAGAAGAGAUUAUCUUAAAAUGUCCCUCCAAGUUCUACCAUUCUGUGAUACACUAUAAAAUAAACUAACUAACUGCCAUUUAGGGAUGUCUCCAAUAACGUGACAUAUAUGAGUUCCAUUUACAGAUGACUAUGCCCUUUAUUGACCUUGACAUAGCCUCUCCAGAGUUACACAUUAUAGUAAGAGAUGUAUAUGCAUUUAGCUCCAUUUAACAUUAUGGCAUCAGGGAAAUGAAGAAUUGGAGCUGGAAUCCAAUUCUUGAUAUUUUAUAAUCACUGCUUCUAAAAAUCUAUACCUAGCAAUAAAAAUGUAAUAAAUACCUUUUUUUUUGUGCCACCCGGUUAAAAGUUAGUUCCAAGGAUGUUACAAUGAAGCUGUCUGUACAAAUAAAUCUGAAAAUGAAACUAAAAAGAUCAUAAAGAAAGUGUCUGUUUGUAUUUCCAAGGGUGAAUCGGCCUGGAAGCUGUUCAUUCUCUCCCAAGCCUGAAACAGCGGAUAAACGACCCCACCUCAUGCUGGGAAGAGAGAGCUUGGGAUCCCUGGCACGUGAGAACCAGAGCCUGGUGUAGAUCAGAGCUCUCCAUCCAGAGUGUCAUGACUUAGCUGCAUGCUUUCACCAGCAGGGAGGAGGGAACUGAUACUGGAGAGUGACACAGGCCAGUGAUG